rnacentral:rRNA from 1 species
AAAUUGAAGAGUUUGAUCAUGGCUCAGAUUGAACGCUGGCGGCAGGCCUAACACAUGCAAGUCGAGCGGAAACGAGUUGUCUGAACCUUCGGGGGACGAUAACGGCGUCGAGCGGCGGACGGGUGAGUAAUGCCUAGGAAAUUGCCCUGAUGUGGGGGAUAACCAUUGGAAACGAUGGCUAAUACCGCAUGAUGCCUACGGGCCAAAGAGGGGGACCUUCGGGCCUCUCG